rnacentral:rRNA from 1 species
CAGUAGCCGCGGGAAUACGAAGGGUGCAAGCGUUACUCGGAAUUACUGGGCGUAAAGCGUGCGUAGGUGGUGGUUUAAGUCCGUUGUGAAAGCCCUGGGCUCAACCUGGGAAUUGCAGUGGAUACUGGGUCACUAGAGUGUGGUAGAGGAUAGUGGAAUUUCCGGUGUAGCAGUGAAAUGCGUAGAGAUCGGAAGGAACAUCUGUGGCGAAGGCGACUAUCUGGGCCAACACUGACACUGAGGCACGAAAGCGUGGGGAGCAAACAGGAUUAGAUACCCGGGUAGUCCCUGUCUCUUAUAC